UUGCAACCCCAGCAGACUGGUUGUAUCCAUUUAUGCACAGAACAGAUACAGCAGCACAGUGGCAGUAAAAGGUUCCCUCACAGGGCCCUGUCCAUUGUGACUCAGUGCAGAUCUGGGGUGAGUCCCCCAUAGCAGUGGGCACCAAUCUUUUCACACCCAGGAGCCAUGGUUGGGAGCU
rnacentral:sRNA from 1 species